rnacentral:rRNA from 1 species
UACGGAGGGUGCAAGCGUUAUCCGGAUUCACUGGGUUUAAAGGGUGCGUAGGUGGGUUGGUAAGUCCGUGGUGAAAUCCCUGAGCUUAACUCAGGAACUGCCGUGGAUACUAUCAAUCUUGAAUGCUGUGGAGGUAAGCGGAAUAUGUCAUGUAGCGGUGAAAUGCUUAGAUAUGACAUAGAACACCAAUUGCGAAGGCAGCUUGCUACACGGUUAUUGACACUGAGGCACGAAAGCGUGGGGAUCAAACAGG